rnacentral:rRNA from 1 species
AAAACGACUCUCGGCAACGGAUAUCUCGGCUCACGCAUCGAUGAAGAACGUAGCAAAAUGCGAUACUUGGUGUGAAUUGCAGAAUCCCGUGAACCAUCGAGUUUUUGAACGCAAGUUGCGCUCAAAGCCAUCCGGUUGAGGGCACGCCUGCCUGGGCGUCACGC